rnacentral:rRNA from 1 species
UACGUAGGGUGCAAGCGUUAAUCGGAAUUACUGGGCGUAAAGCGUGCGCAGGCGGUUUUGUAAGUCUGACGUGAAAUCCCCCGGGCUCAACCUGGGAAUUGCGAUGGAGACUGCAAGGCUUGAAUCUGGCAGAGGGGGUAGAAUUCCACGUGUAGCAGUGAAAUGCGUAGAGAUGUGGAGGAACACCGAUGGCGAAGGCAGCCCCCUGGGUCAAGAUUGACGCUCAUGCACGAAAGCGUGGGGAGCAAACAGG